rnacentral:rRNA from 1 species
UACACUCCUACGGGAGGCAGCAGUGGGGAAUAUUGCACAAUGGGCGCAAGCCUGAUGCAGCCAUGCCGCGUGUAUGAAGAAGGCCUUCGGGUUGUAAAGUACUUUCAGCGGGGAGGAAGGCGAUAAGGUUAAUAACCUUGUCGAUUGACGUUACCCGCAGAAGAAGCACCGGCUAACUCCGUGCCAGCAGCCGCGGUAAUACGGAGGGUGCAAGCGUUAAUCGGAAUUACUGGGCGUAAAGCGCACGCAGGCGGUCUGUCAAGUCGGAUGUGAAAUCCCCGGGCUCAACCUGGGAACUGCAUUCGAAACUGGCAGGCUAGAGUCUUGUAGAGGGGGGUAGAAUUCCAGGUGUAGCGGUGAAAUGCGUAGAGAUCUGGAGGAAUACCGAUGGCGAAGGCGGCCCCCUGGACAAAGACUGACGCUCAGGUGCGAAAGCGUGGGGAGCAAACAGGAUUAGAAACCCUAGUAGUCCCAUG